rnacentral:rRNA from 1 species
UACGGAGGGUGCGAGCGUUGUCCGGAAUCACUGGGCGUAAAGGGCUCGUAGGCGGCCAACUAAGUCAGACGUGAAAUCCCUCGGCUUAACCGGGGAACUGCGUCUGAUACUGGAUGGCUAGAGGUUGGGAGAGGGAUGCGGAAUUCCAGGUGUAGCGGUGAAAUGCGUAGAUAUCGGAAGGAACACCAGUGGCGGAAAAGCGGCUUCCUGGUCCAGCACCGACGUUCAGGCACGGAAAGCGUGGGGAGCAAACAGG